UACGAGGGGGGCAAGCGUUGUUCGGAAUUAUUGGGCGUAAAGGGCGCGUAGGCGGUUUGACAAGUCUGAUGUGAAAUCUAUGGGCUCAACCCAUAGCCUGCAUUAGAAACUGUCGGGCUUGAGUAUGGGAGAGGUGAGUGGAAUUUCCGGUGUAGCGGUGAAAUUCGUAGAUAUUCGCAAGAACACCAGUGGCGAAGGCGGCUCACUGGCCCGGUACUGACGCUGAGGUGCGAAAGCGUGGGGAGCAAACAGG
rnacentral:rRNA from 1 species